rnacentral:rRNA from 1 species
AUCAAUCCGCCCGUACGGUACUCCAGCUGCCUCCCGCUUAAAUUGCCAUCCGCCCCCCCGCCGCUUCCGGACUUGUAAUGGCCUACAAUUGCUUUUUUUGGGCGAGCCUUUCAGAUGUUACCCGGAAUCGGUCGCUCUUACUAGGUCAAGAGGGCGGGUGAAAUAAUGUGGGGCCUUACGGUUACCACAAAAAGAUCUCUCGGGCGCCCAUGUCGCGGGGGGCCCAUAGGGGGACGUUGGUUUCUGUUAAACAAGAGUUUCCGGGGGGGGAACCCUGGAUUUCUCGUCUUUUUUUUUAUUAUGAAGUAAAAGUCGUAACAAGGUUUCCGUAGGUGAACCUGCGGAAGGAUCAUUACCGAGAGCGGGGCCUCGCGCUCCCGGGGGCUUCGGCCCCCAACUCUUCACCCGUUGAUUAUAUACCUUUGUUGCUUUGGCGGACCUCGAGGCCCCCCCUCGCGCCGGCUUUCCGGUCGGCGAGCGUCCGUCAGAGGCCUAUCAGAAUCCGUUUAAUCGUGUUGUCCGAGUUCAAAAAACAAUUGUAAAAACUUUCAACAACGGAUCUCUUGGUUCCAGCAUCGAUGAAGAACGCAGCGAAAUGCGAUAAGUAAUGUGAAUUGCAGAAUUCAGUGAAUCAUCGAAUCUUUGAACGCACAUUGCGCCCCUCGGUAUUCCGGGGGGCAUGCCUGUUCGAGCGUCAUUACACCCCUCAAGCGCAGCUUGGUAUUGGGCGCUCGCCCCCGUGGCGUGCCCGAAAAGCAGUGGCGGUCCGGUGCGACUUUAAGCGUAGUAAAUUUGAUCCCGCUUUGAAAGUCCGCUCCGCGCCCGGCCAGACAGCCCCAUCAUUUCGUUAAUUGACCUCGGAUCAGGUAGGGAUACCCGCUGAACUUAAGCAUAUCAAAAGGGGGGGGAAGUACAUUUUGACGCCCAAACCAGGGAAGAACUACCCCGGUUGACCCUUAUGAAUUUCAAUUAGCCGGAAGAGAAGGGGGAAAUCCCCUGGGGCAGGCUUGCCCCGAGUAUUUUUCUGCUCGGAAAUAUGUAAAGAAAACCCUGCAGGGUCAGAGCUGAAACCAUCUCAACUAUGUCAGUGUAUGCAACAGCAGAUGAAACUCUGCGUGCAAGCUCGAUGUCGACUCACUUGUGUAUCGAUCGUCCAGCAGGUGCAUGCGAUUAAU